UACAGAGGGGGCAAGCGUUGUUCGGAAUUACUGGGCGUAAAGGGCGCGUAGGCGGCCUGCUAAGUCGAACGUGAAAUCCCCGAGCUCAACUCGGGAACUGCGUCCGAUACUGGCAGGCUUGAAUCCGGGAGAGGGAUGCGGAAUUCCUGGUGUAGCGGUGAAAUGCGCAGAUAUCAGGAGGAACACCGGUGGCGAAGGCGGGACUCUGGGCCGAUACUGACGCUGAGGAGCGAAAGCGUGGGGAGCGAACAGG
rnacentral:rRNA from 1 species